GUUUGUUACUGCUUUUUAUGUGACUCCGCCACAAAAUCCUACCACUCCUGUACUCCGUUGAGAGUAAUACCACAGUAGAUCCAAUUCCUCUUUCCUAAACGCCUAAAUGCAGGCACUUUUCUCUGAGGGAUAUCCAUGGGCGUCGGGUUUAGGCAGGGUACAUGCCGGGGAAGUGUGAUCACCCGGAGAGCGAACACACCCGCGUAAAAAUUACAUUCUCCUUCGUAUGUGUGUCGGUCAAAUGUAACGUAGAUUUGUGCACAUGCGGGGCUAGUUCUUUCUGCCUGUGACCGUUUCAGAGAACGGAAGUGCGCGUUAUUAAAAGUUCGUAAAAUUUGUGAAAUUGUGGUGUAAAUGUUUAAAAAGUUUUUUCCUAUAAUUACAGAAAAAAGUAUAGCCAAGUAAAACCGCAGCAAGGCUUACAGUGGCAUACAUUAGUUAAAAACCUAGUUAAAAUCUUAUAAGCUAAAAGUUAAAAAAAAUAGUACGAUAAAAAGUGGUUGACAAUACAAAAACCACAUGCAGUGUAAAACCGCAUUCGACGAAACACAACAUUAAAAAGGUCCAAGAGGGCCUUUUUUGUAUUUCUAUCCAAUUGCUUAGCAGCACGGCGCAGCAGAAAAUCUAAACGGGCAGAAAGGAGCGGUCGGAACGCCAAAAUCCGACUGGUAAAUCGAUCAGCACGUCCCCUCGUGGUGAAGAACCAAACCACGGUGGUGACAUCCUGCAGAGGAUCGUGGGCUCUUCCGGGACGCCGGUAAAGAGCCUGUGAUACCCUGGGCGGUGCUGAAACAACCAGCCGUCCAGCCCUGCUCCAUAAAAAUUCGACCAACAUCAACCGUACGCUAAAGAGUUCAACGGAAGAAGAAACUUCAAUCGGCCGGCCAAAAUGUGCCUAAAGAACCGCAAGUAUACCGUGUGACGUUAUUGUGAAGAAACACAGUUAGGGAAACCAAGUUUAUAAAUAAACCCCCACAAAUUAUGUAAAACCCAACGUAUGAGGAUUUCUGUAUUAUGGGAUAAUUUUUGAUUCCUUUACACCUUUUGCUCAGUAACGUUAUUGGCUGAAAGCCCCCCAAAACUUCACUCUUGAUCGGCCAGGUUGGGAAUUGCUAGCUCCGCUUUAUAUUGAUUUCAUUAAAGAUUUUGACCCGGUUGAUAGCAUGCGAAGUACCACCCGGUACGUCCCUGUCUAGCUUGGUUCCUUCUGGAUAUCCCUUCUGUGAGUUCCCCGGAGGAAAGUGUCUUGGGUUGAAAAGCAUACGAUCCUGAGUUCCAUCAUAAUUUCUUUUCCCAUGUUCCCCACCCACUGAGUGUAGCAGCUGUCAAGUUACAUUCUGGCGCCCACAUAAAAACUAGUUCAACCUUUUACAUUAUCCAUCCCCCGGAGAGGGAAGAAAAUCAGUUCUGAUUGUGCCAAAAUCGUCCUCUGAACGAUUCACUGGAGCAUAAUUUCCAAGGAUUACCGAUUUAUGGUGUUAAAAGUUUAUUUGAAGUGUAUU